UGGGGAAUAUUGGACAAUGGGCGCAAGCCUGAUCCAGCAAUGCCGCGUGUGUGAAGAAGGCCUUCGGGUUGUAAAGCACUUUUAUCAGGAGCGAAACGCUGUCGGCUAAUACCCGGCGGAACUGGCGGUACCUGAGGAAUAAGCACCGGCUAACUUCGUGCCAGCAGCCGCGGUAAUACGAAGGGUGCAAGCGUUAAUCGGAAUUACUGGGCGUAAAGCGUGCGUAGGCGGUUUCUUAAGUCUGCUGUGAAAUCCCCGGGCUCAACCUGGGAAUGGCAGUGGAUACUGGGAGGCUAGAGUGUGUCAGAGGGUGGUGGAAUUCCCGGUGUAGCGGUGAAAUGCGUAGAGAUCGGAAGGAACAUCAGUGGCGAAGGCGGCCACCUGGGACAACACUGACGCUGAGGCACGAAAGCGUGGGGAGCAAACAGGAUUAGAUACCCUGGUAGUCCACGCCCUAAAGCGAUGCGAACUGGAUGUUGGUCUCAACUCGGAGAUCAGUGUCGAAGCUAACGCGUUAAGUUCGCCGCCUGGGGGAGUACGGUCGCAAGACUGAAACUUAAAUGAAUUGACGGGGUCAUAGCUGUUUCCUG
rnacentral:rRNA from 1 species